AGCUGCUUCGGGAAAGAUAGAAUUCCAUUCAGCAUUCAUAAACACCCUGUCUAUUCUCUCCUGAACCAACUGAGAAAGAGGACGGCCGUUAGACUAGGUAUAGUGAGGCCUAGAGAAACCGAUGCCAAUCAUUCUACAAGUGUUUAAGUAGUCUUGGAACUGAAGGGCUCUGUGGAUAUUGACAGAAUUACCUCUAAACUUAUCCUUCCCCAUGAGCACUUCAUUAAAGUCACCUACUAUAACCCAUGGCAUUGAGUGAAGGCUUGCCACAGAUUCCAGAUUCUCCCACAGCAGCCAUUUUUCGGCAAAGCGAGGACUGACAUAAAUUGCUGAGACGAGACAGGGGGUCUUGAAGAGGAAUUAACAAUCACGUGGAUUUCUUGCUCAGUGGAUGCUACUUCCAAAAUUUCAACUUGGUCAGAAUCCCAGAGAAUCCACAACCCUCCAGAGAGGCCAAUGGAAUUCGCAAAAAUAGCCCUAUCCAAAUUUAUUCUUCCUGAGAUCCUAUUAGCUCUUUCACCACAAAAUUUAGUCUCACCAACAACCAUGAUAGCAGGGGAGUGCAUUUGAAUCAGAUCAUUAACAACAUCACAAAAGGUGGGGUUUAGGGCCCCUCGACAAUUCCAUAUUAGCAUAUUCAUUGAUAAUAAAACAAUCAUACAAUCAACAGAAAAUUAGCAAGAGGGGGAAGAAACAGCACCUCCUUGCUCAAUUUGCAUGGAUGCCUCUGUUGCUUCAUUCUCCUCAGAGCUGAUUAGCCCAUUACUCUCCUUCAGCUGACUCUGAACCUCCAAAUCAUAAUCCCCUCCCUCUUCAUCUGCCUUACCCGAUUUUUUUGGUCGGAGAGACGGAUCGAUUCUUUUCAGAAACCUCGUAGAAAUCUGUAAGACUUCUGUCUUCAUGCUAGAUGUGGUUUUCCCUUCAGUGGAUGUACUGCACUUGGAGAUUUCAAAGGGUGGCCGCCGCUCAUGUUCAAACAGUUACUGGGAUUGCGUCACAAAUACCUGAUUACCUGAGCUAGAGCAACCCAUCUCCACAUCCCCGUUAACUCUCCUCACAUCCUGCAUAUCAAGCAAAGCCGUGGUUGCUAGAUCUGCCGACGAUUGUUUCUCCGAACAAGAGAGUGCUUUGUUUGCUUCUCAUUUGCUAAUUGGAUGUUUCUUCAAGUUUUUAUUUUUAUUUUUUGUUUGUUAAAAAAAUAUCAUUUUCUGUGUUAUUGUUUGUGUUCUUUUGCUUCUAUUUUUAUUAUUUAUUUCUUUCCAUUUGAUCAAAGCUUGAGCUAUGAAUUCUGAUGGAAGACUGCGAGGCUGCUACUAACAUUUUGAUUUUAUUGUUUAUGUGUUUAUUUUUCUUUUGUUUUAUCUUCUAUUUCCAGUAUUGGGUUAGCCAGGGCAACAAAUGGUGUGACUUCUACAAAAUCUUCAUAUCAAAUAAUCCUUCCAGCAUCAGAAUUCAUGAGCUUGGUAAGCAGACUGCGCCCAUGAGCAAAUUGAAGCAGUGAGUUUUAAGAACAACAUUUGCUUAUAUUAAUAUGAAAGCAAAGCGUAGCAAUCAGAAGGAUAUAGCAAAACUUCAAGAGGUCAGAGAUAUGCCCAAGCAUUGAAUGAUCAAGAUGAAGGAAGAGGCAUAUGCCACACCUCAGUUUUCCUCAAACUCUAAACAUCAAGUGCCCACUUUGAAAAAGUUGUUGUCAGCUUCAGAGGCAGCACCAGUUACAGAAAAUAAAGUUCAAAGUGGACCAGCACCUGGACUGUUGUUUCAGCUUCUUUAAAUCCCAUGAGAUCCAUUAAAGAUUGACUUGAAGAAUUUGGAUCCUUUUCCGUUUCUGAUGUUGGACGAAUUUGGAUCCUUUUUCGUUUUUGAUGUUGGACAAUUUUCAGGACUGACUUGAAAAAUUUGGAUCAUUUUCCGUUUCUGAUGUUGGACGAUUUUUCAGGCUGUUUCUGCACAAGCAUUGCAGGGGAACCACUAUGGACUGUGGUUCAAUGCUCACCCAUUCAACACUAAAAAUGGUUUGCUUUGUUCUCUCCAAUCAUAUUUAUGAUUCAUGUAUAAAUUCAGAUAUCUUUUAAAGUUUUAUCUAGGAGAAUUGUAUCAAUGAUGAGUUCAAAGCUAAGUGUGUAAAUUACAUGAUAUGUCGUGUGUGUAGUUAGUGAGAAUAUUAUUUCCUUAGGAAUUUUUAGAUAUUGAUGUGAAAGCCAUCUUAGUAGUUGUGUCUCUAUUUAAUGCUGCUUUUAUUUGCUUAU